rnacentral:rRNA from 1 species
GAUGAACGCUGGCGGCGUGCCUAAUACAUGCAAGUCGAGCGAACGGACGAGAAGCUUGCUUCUCUGAUGUUAGCGGCGGACGGGUGUGUAACACGUGGAUAACCUACCUAUAAGACUGGGAUAACUUCGGGAAACCGGAGCUAAUACCGGAUAAUAUUUUGAACCGCAUGGUUCAAAAGUGAAAGACGGUCUUGCUGUCACUUAUAGAUGGAUCCGCGCUGCAUUAGCUAGUUGGUAAGGUAACGGCUUACCAAGGCAACGAUGCAUAGCCGACCUGAGAGAGGGAUCGGCCACACUGGAACUGAGACACGGUCCAGACUCCUACGGGAGGCAGCAGUAGGGAAUCUUCCGCAAUGGGCGAAAGCCUGACGGAGCAACGCCGCGUGAGUGAUGAAGGUCUUCGGAUCGUAAAACUCUGUUAUUAGGGAAGAACAGAUGUGUAAGUAACUGUGCACAUCUUGACGGUACCUAAUCAGAAAGCCACGGCUAACUACGUG